rnacentral:rRNA from 1 species
CCUACGGGAGGCAGCAGUAGGGAAUCUUCCGCAAUGGACGAAAGUCUGACGGAGCAACGCCGCGUGAGCGAUGAAGGCCUUCGGGUCGUAAAGCUCUGUUGUUAGGGAAGAAUAAGUGCUAGUUGAAUAAGCUGGCACCUUGACGGUACCUAACCAGAAAGCCACGGCUAACUACGUGCCAGCAGCCGCGGUAAUACGUAGGUGGCAAGCGUUGUCCGGAAUUAUUGGGCGUAAAGCGCGCGCAGGCGGUUUCUUAAGUCUGAUGUGAAAGCCCCCGGCUCAACCGGGGAGGGUCAUUGGAAACUGGGAAACUUGAGUGCAGAAGAGGAAAGUGGAAUUCCAAGUGUAGCGGUGAAAUGCGUAGAGAUUUGGAGGAACACCAGUGGCGAAGGCGACUUUCUGGUCUGUAACUGACGCUGAGGCGCGAAAGCGUGGGGAGCAAACAGGAUUAGAUACCCUGGUAGUCCACGCUGUAAACGAUGAGUGCUAAGUGUCUAGAGGGUUUCCGCCCUUUAGUGCUGAAGUUAACGCAUUAAGCACUCCGCCUGGGGAGUACGGUCGCAAGACUGAAACUCAAAGGAAUUGACGGGGGCCCGCACAAGUGGUGGAGCAUGUGGUUUAAUUCGAAGCAACGCGAAGAACCUUAC